UACGUAGUGUGCAGGCGUUAAUCGGAAUUACUGGGCGUAAAGCGUGCGCAGGCGGUCUGCUAAGAGAGGUGUGAAAUCCCCGGGCUUAACCUGGGAACUGCGCUUCUAACUGGCAGGCUUGAGUGUGGCAGAGGGGGGUGGAAUUCCACGUGUAGCAGUGAAAUGCGUAGAGAUGUGGAGGAACACCGAUGGCGAAGGCAGCCCCCUGGGCUAACACUGACGCUCAUGCACGAAAGCGUGGGGAGCAAACAGG
rnacentral:rRNA from 1 species